AGCAGCCGCGGUAAUUCCAGCUCCAAUAGCGUAUAUUAAAGUUGUUGCAGUUAAAAAGCUCGUAGUUGAAUUUCGGGGUCAGUAGGUUGGUCGUGCCUACGGUAUGUACUGGCUUUACUGAUUCCUCCUUCUUGAAGAACUGUAAUGUCAUUAAUUUGGUGUUGCAGGGAAACAGGACUGUUACUUUGAAAAAAUUAGAGUGUUUAAAGCAGGCUAACGCUUGAAUACAUUAGCAUGGAAUAAUGAAAUAGGACGUUUGAUCCUAUUUUGUUGGUUUCUAGGAUUGACGUAAUGAUUAAUAGGGAUAGUUGGGGGCAUUAGUAUUCAAUUGUCAGAGGUGAAAUUCUUGGAUUUAUUGAAGACUAACUACUGCGAAAGCAUUUGCCAAGGAUGUUUUCAUUAAUCAAGAACGAAAGUUAGGGGAUCGAAGACGAUCAGAUACCGUCGUAGUCUUAACCAUAAACUAUGCCGACUAGGGAUCGGAUGAUGUUAAUUUUUUAAUGACUCAUUCGGCGCCUUACGG
rnacentral:rRNA from 1 species